ACUUCUAGGCUUGGUUGAGCCGCGCAGGAAGGUCCGAGGCUGGGGGAGCAGCCGUUGGCUCUGGUGCCCCUGGGGGUGGGAGCACGAGUGGGCAAGGAUGAUGGUGAGGCAGAGGAGGCGGCCCCGAGGGAGCGCCCGGCUGAGAGGCGGGGGGCCGAGGGGCCCGGGGAGCGGGCGUCACCGAGGGCCCUGGAAGCGGCAGGGCUGGGGGAGAGGAGACGCGUGUGUGGAGCAUGGGGACCCCAGCCCAGCUCCCACUUGCAGACCUGGGCCGCGGGCUGCCGGCCGAGUGGCCGGGGGGCCUGGCUGCCCAGGAGGCGGGCCGGGGCCGCGGCCGGGGGCGCGGAGCGGAGUUAGGGUCGCCAGGCCGAGCCGAGGUGGGACGGACCGACGCAGAGAGGAAGGGAAGCCACCUGGCCUGAAGAUCCUGUCUCUAAGAUCCCAUUCUGAGGCUUCGAGGGUCUGGCUUGAGCAGCACAGACAGGGACGUGUCUAACCGGGAUGACCAUGAGGUCUCAUCGCAGUUUGCCACUAACCAGGACCCUAGGAGUGCUGUUUUAUUGUCUCCACCUGACAGAUAAGGAAAUGGCAGCUGACCCAGGUCAAGGAAGUUCCUGAGGUCCCAGGGCUAAUAAGUGGCCUGACUCCACCACCAGCCCCCAGGAGGAAGCCAACCCCAGCCCUAGAAAAACCCAAUUCCUGAGUGAGUGCUGUAAACCAAAAAUAAAAUUCUAAGCUUCCCAACUGCCUGAAUGAACCCCCUCUUGGCCAAAGGGAUUUUGAAAAAACCUAAAAACUGAGUUCAGGCCAUGACAGGAAGUGGGGCGUAGGCCAUGACAGGAAGUGGGGCGUGGGCCAUGCCUCAUCCUAGCCUCUCCCUUUUGGAGCUUAGACACAACUGACCAGCAUUAACAUUAAAACAGAAUCCUAAGACUGACAGAACAGACUCUCAGCAAUUAAGAUACCAACUCCAACCUGACUGGUCUAUCAUCACAUGGGAGAUGACAGAUGGUCUCUUAUCAGACCCUAAAAAGUGUCAGACUCUUAGUUAAAUCUCUCCUAGAUCAGGAAAAGGCCUAGAAAGGGAAGGGAGUCUGCAGGAUAUAAAUUUCCCCCACAAGAGAUGGCUUUGCAGGGCCAUUCCAAAAUAUGUCAAAGAAACAUAUGGUUUCUUCAUCCCAACUCCCGCAUCUUCCCCUGGACCAAAUGGCCUCAGGUCUUUGGCUCAAAGAAUUUCAGGCAAACUAUUACUUCCUCCUCAGAGGUACUCGGAAGCUCCAUUUCAUCACAGAAGGUCAGAAACCAACAUGAAACAGUUCUGCCAAUCAGAUUUAUAGCCCCAACCAGCUGAGACCAGGUCCUACCAAUGCUCCUGAAGUCUCAGAGCUAUACUUUCUUAAAUGUUCCAACAUAGUUAGGAAGGAACAGUUCCAGUUGGUUUCCUGCAUUAUACUGCCUGGCCUUCUCUAUAUGUCCAAUUUCACUUCCUCCAGAGAUCAAGGAAGCAAAAAAAGAGAGUGACUUGGAUGAGACUUACGUUAAAAGAAGAAAGGGAUAACCUGGUUUCACCACUCUCAAAACACUCUACCAUCAGUGAACAGCAACCUCUUCUCUUGAGGGACUUCUCAGCCACUCCCUACGGCCUUCUCUCCACUGCCUGAAUUGUGUACCUGGCUGUUCAGAGCCACAGCCUGGCUUUAAGCCAUCCAACUGCUGUACCAAUUGAUGAGUCACGUUUUUUCAAUUGGAAAAGAAUGACAAAGUUACCCUCUGAUUCAGAAAGGCAGCUGAUCUUUCAGGCAUGUGAGUGCUGACUGAGGAAACCGCACCUCUGUCCACCUGAGGAAAGUUGGAUUUCUGUGAUGGGUGGGGUGGUGGGGGUUGGAGCUUUGAAGUAAUUAAAUACCAGAUGAAGGGUGAGAAACUUCUAGCUUGUGAUUCCCAGACUCAGGGCUAGUGGAUGAGGGCAGAAUCUUCUCUAUAUUCUUGUCCCAUAUCCCAGAGGAUUCUAACAAGGACCAAACUCUGAAUGAAAACAGGACCAUUGCCUGACCCAUUCACCAGUGUUUGGCACACACUGGUGCUCAAAAAAUAAGCUGUUGAAUGAAUUGAUUAAUAAAAUAAAAAUGAGGCACGGGGCAGGUAUCUCCAUUUCACACACUGUGGGAAGUUGGGGUAUAUAACUCUGAAGUGUUAAGAUGACUGUGGAGCUCCUUCCAUUAAGUCAAGCUGCCAAUAAGGCUGAAACCAACUUAAAUAUACUAAUGGGAGGACAUUGAAGGUAAACAGCAUUCAUUUUUUCAACGGAAUAAGACUAUAAAUGGCAAGCAGAGACAAGGUUCUUUGGGGCCCUUUAAAACUGUGGUCAAAUGGCCCACCCAUCUGAUGCCAGGUCCUCAGGAUUCAGAGAACAUGUGUACCAAAAAGCCCCCAGGAAACUAAAUGCUAGCAUGGGACUUGGGUGCCUCUGGAAUGUCCUUCUGCCUCAGCUACUCUGAGAUAACAUGGUUCCCUGUGUUCAUGGAACCCAGAUGGCCAAAAGUCAAUGAUCCAGCACUUAUAAGAAAAGAAAGCCAUUCAAGAGCCUCUGUACCCACCUAGGCCUCAGCCUCCCCAGGACCUACUCACCUAUACUCUUCACAACAGGUAACAUUGCCUCUGGCACCCAUCACAUCCCCUGAAUUUGGCAUCAGGAUUGAUCUGCCAUCAGCUCUGGCAGGGAGAGGCCCUUACAAAUGCCAGGAAAAGAAACAUGAACAAUAUUCUGUGACCACAGCCAACACCACACAGAACUUCCCAGAGGCUCUCCAGGGCAAGAACACCAACCAGAAGGAAGGGGCAGCUUCCAUCAUUCUGUGCUAAGUGAGCUGAGUGAGUGGCCAUCUCUCACCUUCCAGAUAUUUGAAUGAUACCUACCAUUCCAGCAGCCAGCACAAGUCAUUUAAUAUGAAUGCCAGAAACACAAUCCCUGAGGACAGGUGCAGGAGACCAGAUGCCAGGAAAAACCCCGGCUGACCCAAGAGUUGGGGAGAGCCCACUGCUCCUCCACCCUUAUUUACCACCUGAGCCCCUGCACCCACCAAUCAUGCUGCUCAGUCUCUAACUGUGGGUCUGAGUGAGCACCUACAUUUGGCUGUUGAGGGGCAGCUGGUGGAAGGAGACUCUGCACUAAGUUCUCAGGUUGAAUGGGAGUGGGGUCGAGGGAAGCAAUGGACGCAGAGUUGGGGUAAAGACAUGCGGUGGUGUCAGCGGGGGUGAAAGGACACGGAGAUGUCAUUUUUUAACAAGAUUGGGUGAGGGUGGUAGGAAAGGAGGCAGUAAGAGUUCAGGACAGUUUAGCAAAGACUUAGGGAUGGGGUGUCCUCAGGACGGCAGGAGACGGAAAAGAAGGUAUACAGUGGCUAGGAGACUAAGGAUGAGAAGACACUGUUAAGACUUGGAAUAAGGCUGAGAUCGGAGUUAUCCAGAAGAAAGCGGUGAGCUCAACAGGGCACCAACUUCCUGGGGCUGGACUACGGCUGCGCAAAUCCCACCCAGCCCAAAAAAGUAAGUGUGAGGAGAGAAGGGAAAAACUAAAAAGGAAAAUCAGAAAAAAACAAAAGAGAUGGACGGCAGUGCGUGCGCAGGGGCAGUACCCAUGCCGUUGCCCGGCCUGCCAGCUGCAGGAGCAGGAGAACUCGGGAAUGAGGAAGAAACCAGGAAAUGACAGAAAGAAAAAAAAAAAAGAACGCAAAUAGAGAAAUGGAAAAAAUAAGAAAGAUUGGAAAAAACAGAAAUUUUGAAAAAAGGAUAAUACUAAAAAAAUAAAUAGUAUAAAAGGAAGGCAAAAUGUUAAGGCAUGUCAAAAAUUAUCUGUAAAAGUCAUAAAAAAUGCUAUAAAAAGAAUUUAUGCAAAACAUAUUAUAUAAUUUAAAACUAAUUUGGCCUCCUAAAUGUAAAACUAUUAAGUUUAUGUGCAAGGUGUAUAAGGAAAAUAAAAUACACUUUUAAUAAAAGGAUUAUAAAGAGGCAUAAAAAUUUGAAUUCUUACCUACAUUAAAAGGUCAAAAAAAUUUGUUUUAAAAGUUUAAGCAAGUUUUAAAAUGUUAAUUAUAAAAAAAAUUCUGUGUAUAAACAUAUCGGCUAAAGUUAAAGGGGUAUCAUCCAGUUUUUCUAUGAACUGAACAUAAAAAUAAAAGCACAAUAGGUUUUUCUUAAAGCACUAACCUGCUCUUUAACAAAAAUUAUAAAGGGUUAAAAAGAAUCUAUAAAAAUCUUACCUUAUAGUCAAACGUUAAAAUUAAAUAAUAUCUACAAGGUUUUAUUAAAAUGUAGUUUAACAUUAAUAGUACACUAAUAUAAAGGUAAAAUUUAACUUAUCUCUUAUAAAAUCAUACAGGAAACAUUAUCAAACAUAAAAUGAUGUUUGACUUUCUUUAUUCUAAAAACUAAUAAAAAUAGGUGCUAAAAAUUUUCCAAAUGAAAAUAAAUAUUGCUAAACCAAAGAGAAAUGUUAUCUAAGCCCCGUAUAAAAAAUAAAUAAAUCUUGUUCCAAUUGCAUCAAAAAACCCAUUAAGGGCCCUCCAGCACAGGGUUAAUACCAACGAGUUUCCACCUCCAGCUGCUCCUAGAGUGGCCACAGCAUGAGCCAUCUGGUGGGGGACCUAGCCGCCAACAGACACUUCCUGUACAGGGGAGGGGGGAGGGGGCCAGGCAGCCGUUAGACAGCACAACCGAACCCAACACCGGGGCCCAACGGCAGGGGCUUGGGCAGGAGCAAGGUCCGAGGGCUGCCAGGUGCCAGAAGCCCAGGAAGCACACAUCAAGGCUCACUUGCCAGCAGGGUGCUGCCAAUAAAAUGUAGUCACGUGGAAUUUGGAAUGUGGAAAGGAGGUCCACGCUGCUUUUAUGAGCUGUAACACUCACCGCGAAGAUCUGCAGCUUCACUCCUGAGCCCAGCGAGACCACGAGCCCACCGGGAGGAACAAACAACUCCAGACGCGCUGCCUUAAGAGCUGUAACACUUGCCGUGAAGGUCUGCAGCUUCACUCCUGAGCCAGCGAGACCACGAACCCACCAGAAGGAAGAAACUCCGAACACAUCUCAACAUCAGAACGGACAGACUCCAGACGCACCACCUUAAGAGCUGUAACACUCACCGCGAGGUUCCGCGGCUUCAUUCUUGAAGUCAGUAAGACCAAGAACCCACCAAUUCCGGACACAGUAGCAUUUGGGAAUAAUAAGAAUUGUAGCUGGGCAUGGUGGUACACGCCUGUAGACCCCUAGCAGCUGCCAUCAUCCUCACCAUCCGCAUAUUAUUGAUAUAUUAACUCUUUGAUGGCAACCAUAGCUUAUCCCCCUUAUCUCCCUAUGCCCUACAGCAGGGCAGUGGAAUGGUUAAGAGGCUUUGAAGUCUAAGAGUGCUGGCUUAAAACCCUAAUUUGUCAUUUUGGAUGUGUGGCUUUGGACACUUGGGGCAGGUCACCUAUGUUCUUCAAGCCCUGUAUCCUUAUCUGUCAGAUGAUGAUUUUUUUUUUUUUAGACGAAGUCUCACUCUCUUGCCCGGGCUGGAGUGCAGUGGCAUGAUCUCGGCUUACUGCAAGCUCCACCUCCCGGGUUGACGCCAUUCUCCUGCCUCAGCUUCCUGAGUAGCUGGGACUACAGGCUCCUGCCACCACCCGUGGCUAAUUUUUUUGUAUUUUUAGUAGAGACAGGGUUUCACCAUGUUAGCCAGGAUGGUCUCGAUCUCCUGACCUCGUGAUCUGCCCGCCCCAGCCUCCCAAAGUAUCAGAUGAUUUUAACAACUAUGCUUCCAUGACUUGCUGGGCUAGAUGAUAUGACUGUAAAAUGCCUAACCCAUGGUUUAGCAUCAAGUAAGCAAAUUGUAAAUGGUAGCACUGCUCUGCCUAUGACUAUUUAGUCUUGUGCUUUAAACUCAAAUAUUUGUUGGCCUACUGAAGUCACCACACAGAGAAAGAUGCUUUUCAUUCUCAGUAAAGAACUUUGGGAGAUAACUGGGGCAGGCAGCAAGAGAACAGAUGUCAUAUGUCUAGCAUCAGCAAACUCAUCAGAACUGAUGGGCAGCUCACUUUGCUUAGAACCUGCACCAGCAUACACACGGGGCUGCUUCCCAGUCACACUGCUCCUGGGAAGGUAGGGGGGCUGCUGUUCUGCAAUUAGCGCGGUUCUUUACCUCCUAUUACCGAACUGCCAGAGUUCAUUUGUGUUCAGUUAGGUAGAUGACCAAUUCUUGUUCAUUCCUAUUUUCUUUUGCUCACUAAUGUGUUUAACGUUCACUAACCUACCAAAUGUGAUUUAUUAGCGACUUUUUCUUUGAAGAUGGAGUGGAGGAAUCCUAGCGCUUUCUGCAACAUGCUACUGCUGUUAUGGAACAGUGCAGAUAUGGAAGUGCAUCAGCCGGGGAUGGGGAGAGGCUAGGGCAGUACAUGUGAAUGGAGAGGUAGCCCCACCAGUGUGUUUUCUGAAAUACAGUCCCGCAGAGGGCAGUCUUGGGAAAUUACUGUUCUCACACACUCUUCUUGACCCUACCCCUCCAGCACCUCCCUUGCUAUCCAAGGGUUGGGAUUUUUAAAAAGAAAAACAAAUUUUAAAAAAAGCAGUGUGAAUCUUUUGCCAUCUUGUAAGGGUGAAAAGCCCCCUACCAAGUCGGGAUGAACAUUCAUGCGUGUGCUUGAGGGCUUGGGAAAAAGACAGGGCUUGGCCCCACAGUGCAGGUAGGCCCAGUGAUCCUAUAAUAGGGGCCAGGAGAUGGGAGGUCCCCUGUGGGCAGGAGUUCAAGUAUGUGGUAUUAUAUGACUGGUGCUUGAUGAACCCAGGGAGAGGGCACCAAAAACAAUGGUAUUUAAUUGUAAAAUCUCCACCCCCUGAGGAUAUGUUUUCAGGUCUGGGUGACUAAUUAGACUGGGAAACAAGGGCAGGAACGAUGGCCCUGUGCUUGCUCUGCCCGCUGCCUCUGUGGAUGUGUGGGCUGCUGGCUUCAGUCCUGCUUUUCUUUCUGAUGGUAUUGUUUAUGCUAUGUGUUUUUGCAGGAGGCCUGAGGUGGGCUGGGUUCUCCUCCUAUGGCAGGGCUUCACUCUCCUCCUCCUUCUCUGUUGGGGCUUCACUGUCCCUGGGAUAAGAAUAACAAUGCCAAGGUUUUCAUUCUUGAAAGGAGCAAUUAAGCGUCUCACCCCCUCCUCAUUUUAGAUGGGAACUGUGAGGGUCCCGUCAUUUACCCAGGGUCCCUGUUGAGGAUCUUGUCCUCAUUAGAUGACUUCUUGUGCAGCUUCCAUGCGUGAUUCUUUACUCUUGUGGCACUGAGAGGUUUGUACAUGUCUUUAAGCCAGAGCGGCUUUCUGAAUGAAAAAAGUCCAUCCUAGAAGAUAGAAAGGGAAAUAUUAAUUUUGCAUGUCCUCUGCUUUCCCUGGUCACAGCAAUGAAUCCUCCAAUGUACCUGACUCUCCCUUUGCGAAGAGCAUCUCCGUGGCAGAAAUCUGAAAAUGCCCCUGGGGAGACACAUGCACAAGACAGUGAGUGAUGCAGCCGUUUCCCACGUAUCUCACAAUGUACUUCUCUGGUCUUAUUAGAACUAAAUGAGUAUCUCAGUCCAUAAUCACAGGGAGAAGAACCACCACAGACCACAUACCUGGGGUCUUGAAAAUAAUUCCAUGCAUGUGGGACUUUCAGAAGCUCUCCAUGUCUGUCCAGAAGGGCCCCACAAUAUACUGGGGGGACUUUGUAUGUGGCUCAGCAUGGAGCAGGGGCAGGAUGUUCAUUCCCACUCAUCCCCUUGGCCAAGUGCCCUUGUGCAGUGAACAAACUGCACAACCAUGCUGGGCAGAAGCAUUUUAUAUCAGUCCCCUUCGGACUUAGUCUCACAGGCAUCAUUUGAUGGGGGGUGGGAGAUGAAGUGGUUCUUCCUUUUCUAGAUACUUUAUUCUAUAAGUUGGAUCACCUCAAGCAAAUGCCUGAGUGCAGCUAGCCAAGUUCUCUAUCUCACAGUCUUCAUACAGCUGGCUGUCGCUGAUGAGUGAGUGAGCUGCGAAAUCAGCUUAAACCACAACAUGUUAUUUUUGAAUUUGAAUAAAAUAGGAAAAGGCAGAGUGCAUUGUGUGACCAUGGGGUAAGACACUCUCCCUUUCUCCUUCUCAGUUUUCCUGUCAUAAAAGGACAAACUACUAUCUAAGUUCUCCGUAGUUAAAAUUCUUUUUUGUUGUUUUUUUUUAUUUGAGACAGUUUGGCUCGUUCCCCAGGCUGGAGUGCAAUGGUGCUAUCUUGGCUCCCUGCAACCUGCGCCUCCUGGUUUCAAGCAGUUCUCCUGCCUCAGCCUCCCAAAUAGCUGGGAUUACAUGCCUGUGCCACCACACCCAGCUAAUUUAGUAUUUUUAGUAGAGAUGGGGUUUCACCAUGUUGGUCAGGUUGGUCACGAGCUCCUAACCUCAAGUGAUCCCAAAGUGCUGUGAUUACAGGCGUGAGCCAUCCUGCCUGGCCUUUCUGGUUAAAAUUCUGUGAGGUUUGUGUAAAAGGAAUAGAGUGGGGGCGCAAAAACCAGUAAGAUGAGAAAAUAGUGUUUCCUCAGUUCUAGUAUCCAGGGGAAAAAAAGAAAAGAGAAAAUACUGUUUCCUGCCACUUAAGAGGAAGGACUCACAUAUCCUACCUUCCAUCAGCCUUGAAGGAGACAAGUGCCCUCUCUCUCACACCCGGUGGCCUUCCCUUCCCCUUUCCCAGAGCCUCCAAGAAGGCCCCUGGCCUGGCCUGAUGCCCACCAUCAGCAGCAAUAGGCACCAAAACCUUUCUCCUUCCUAUCCCUCCCCACCUCCCAAAAGGGCUGGGGACAGCAGGUGUAUCCUUGUUAGUUCCAUCAUGAGACAGCACAUUCCUACAAUGUCGUACAGAUGUAAAUUCUCAAAUUAAUCUACAAAUUUAACGUAAUCCUAUUCAAAUCCCAAGAUAGUUUUUGGUGGUGGCUGUUUUUAAGACAGGGCCUCGCUGUGUUGCCCAGGCUAGAGUGCAGUGGUACGACCACAGCUCACUGCAUCCUCGACCUCCCAGGCUCAAGCGAUCCUCCCACUUCAGCCUCUGAAGUCUCUCAUAUGGUGUCCAAGAAAUGGUGACAAAUCUCACAAAGGGACUAGGCUCAGCACGGCUGGAAUAUUCAGGGAAGGUGUCAAGAAGAAAGAUGAACUUGUGUUGGCUUUUGAGAGAUGCAUAGGACUCCCACAGGCAGAGUGAAAUAAGGGCAUUUUAGAUGGACAAACACACAGACAGAAGCAGAAAUGUGGGUGGUGUGACUGGGGUAUAGUGAGGGGCUGCUGUGGCUGGAAUGGAGGGCUGCCACAAUAAUGGAAAUGGUAAAUGAGGCAAAUAAGGUUGGACUGGUGGCAUAGCGUCAAGGUUGCCAGCUUUAUUAAAUCACUCUUCCAAUAUGCUAGCACUGGCCUGUUGGGAAAAGUAAUAUAUCAUGUAAUCGAACAAAAGACAAACAGAGGCAAGCUCCAGGAAUGGGCACUGUAAACAGGACUUGCCCCAGAGUAGCCAGAUGUAGGCUUUAGAUAAGUUGAUGCAGGCUGAGCAUCUCUAAUCUGAGGGGGAAUGUCUCACAUGGUGUCCAAGAAAUGGUGACACAUCUCACAGAGGGUCUAGGCUCAGGAGGGCUAGAGUAUGAGACGUUCCCCCUCGCCUGUGAACUUAAAAAUGUGGCCAACAAUUUUUGUAAAAGAUGGCUACUCUGUAGUGCUUUAACUGGACCUAUUUAGACAAUGCCUUACACACUGGAGGACGAUACUGUGUAAAUCUAAUAAGUCUACAAGACAAUACUUCUGUCUUUUGGCUCUCUCCUUCCUCUCCAGGGUGAUGACAAAUCCGUGAGGGUGGAGAUUAUACCUCUCUCAUCAUUUCAGCACCAAGGAAAUAAAUUAGUGGCAGAGUAAGGGUGACUUGAUGAGUACAUCCAAUUGUUGACAUAGUUUUGGGUGGAGAAAUUUUGCUAUUAUAUCGACUUCUUAAAAUAGUCUAGUGGGAUUAACUUGGUUUCAAUUCACAGAGAUCUGGAAGCGAGGAUCUUUUAAAAAUCCUGAAAUAUACACUGCAAUAAAAGAACAAAGCAUACACCUCAGCCUUAAAUGACUGAAGAAGUAUGUCAAGUAGCAGCAGGUGGGAAAGUGGCUUUGGUUUUCAGUUUGUGAGCUCUGAAUCCACACAGAAACAGGACUGCAUUCUGACAACCUGAAUUAAUUAUUGUCCUUACCACAAUGAGGCAGAAAAGUAUAAUAAAAAUCAUUAGUAUUUCAGUCACAAUUAAUGCCAAGAUGAGUUUGUCAGUAUAGCCAUAUCCUGGAACUUAUUUUGUGAGCUAAAAAAAACAAAAAAACAAAACAAAAAAAAACACACCAGAAUGAGAGCUAACUAUUCAAAACCCCAGUAUUCCAGGUGAGUAGCUUACAGGUUCUUUUUUAUUUUUUUGAAAGAGGGUCUCACUCUGUUACCCAGGCUGGGGUACAGUGGUGCAAUCACCGUUCACUAGACUCGACCUCCCUGGGCUCAGGUGACCCUCCCACCUCAGCCUCCCAAGUAGCUGGGACUACAGGCACGUGUCAUCAACCCAGCUAAUUUUUUUAUUUUUUGUGGAGACAGGCUUUCACUAUGUUGGCCAAGCUGGUCUCAAACUCCUGACUUCAAGUAAUCCACCCACCUUGGCCUCCCAAAGUGCUGAGAUUACAGGCAUGAGCUACCACCCCUGGCCUACAGUUCAUCUUGUGCCCUAAUCUAUAUUUCACUCUCUACAUGAGCAAAGUGGGAGAUCACUGUCAUGACCAAAGUUACAUGGCCAAGAUAAGCUAUGGCCUGGGAGUCCCAGAUUCUUCUGUGUGGGCACUUUCCUGGGAUAUGCUAAAUGAUGGGAAAUCUGGGUCUCAUGUUUCUGUGUGGUCCUCACCUCAAGCGACUUCUCUUUCUGUUCACUCUGGGCUUCCGUGCUCUCAUUAAUGUAGUUCUGAGUCUUCCAUUGGUCCGUAUCCCAUUCUAUCUCAGAUGCCUUUACUUCCUGCUGCCCACUGAGAAGCUUCAUCAGGUGGCCUGUCCUGGAGAUGAGCUUGGCACAGGUCACUUGCACAUGGGCCCCAGAGCAGUCCAUCUUCAAGGUCCGGAUAACAUGAGAAAUGAGCCUUCUCACAUUGUUGGGGAUAAGGGACUGUAGCUGCUGGGUUAGCUGAAUUUCAAACUGAGCAAUGGGUAAUUGAAGCUUUUGGGCUCGGGGGACAGGUCAGUGCCCACGUUGUUGUAUUCCCAUUUUGUCUCAGUUUGUUUAACAGUUGGCCCUAAGUUGAAUGCAGUCCCAGCGGAAUCUGCCUCAGGAGGAUGAUUGUAGUUUGUGUUUUCAGAGAUGGUGACUUCUGGCAUGUUAGUGUUUUCCAUAAAAACAUUUUCUUCCAAGGCAUUUCUUGCAGUUGUGUCUUUUAUAUUAGUGGUUUCUAUAAAAUGUUCUGAAGGAGCAGAUACUUCCAGAAAAGGGUUUUCUUGAGGACUCAGGUCUCCUAAGGAUGAAAAAGCCCCUUGUGAAGGGGAAUUUAUGAGGCUCUUCGCUGCAGAGAACGGAGGCCUGUUUGCGAGCAUCAGUCUACUCAGAUAACUUUUCUUUCUGAACUUUGGACUCUUUUUGACCUUGGGUGUUCUGUGGGUCAUGCGGGAGCGAGUUUUGUGAAAGCGGUAUUUUUUUCUGGAAUGUGAAAUUGGUUUAGAAGCCUUCAUAUUUGUAACUCUAGCCUUUGCACUUUCUAAAAUGGAAAUAGUGUGUGUGUUGUCUUUCCAUCUGUCUCUCACCUGUGGUAGGGCUUUUGCAGGGCUGGAGGUAGAAGGCGCGCCCUUGGAGAAGGGUGUCAGCACAGAGACUGCUGCCUUAUGCUCUUGGGUGAACGAAGGCUUGGUGUAGAUGGCGUUUCCCGCUAACUUCUCAGGCCCCUGCUGUGUGUGAGGCUGUUCCAGCUCCCUUGGGGCUGGACUCCCGAGCCUUUUUUCUUCGGCAGCGUUCUCCACAGAUGCCUGGGCACCCUGUUCCCUCCUGAUGCUCUGCCUUCCCACCUCUUUGAAGUGCCUUUUCUGGAUGCUCCUUGGGCCCAUGAGGACUCUAUUCACUUUUUGCUGGUUUUGGCCUACAGUUUGAAUCUUUGCCAGGCUGUUUCCUGUGGUUGGCAGUUUAAUGAACGGUAGUAACAUUGAUUCCACAUCUAGGUUUACUGCUGAGAAAUAUGGCAAAUGUAACUUAGUGCACUGAUAACCUCACUCUCGUCAUUGGUGUCUAGCUGCUCACUCCCAAAGCCUGACAAGUUGAUGCCACUGCUGUCUGAGGGCUCCUCCGGCUCAACAGUCAGCUCAGUGCUUGUGUAAUUCUUCCGGGCUUGUAACGUCUUCAUGAAUGCUCCUUCUGGAUUCCCUACAGAUUCUUCUUCAGCUGUCAAAAAAGAGACUGCUUUGCUCAUGAAAGAUGAUGGGAUGGGAUGCAUCAGUCCAUAGCUGUACACCCCAGUCACACAGAGUAGGAGUCAGCAAACAUUUGAGUGCCAUUCAGAGAGGAGACACACACACCCAAUCCUAAACCUAUGAAAUGGCAACAACAAAAGGAGAAAAUAUAUCUUUUGAAAACACGGCCAUCUACUUGGAACAUUCCAUAGUGUGACAUAGAGUAACUCUGCUUAGGAUUAUUUCAUUGAUCCCCAGGGUCCAAUUGCCCAGUGCUCAGUCAAAGCCCAAGGUGGAAGACAAGUGCUUCCCUGAUGAGCUGAUGAGCUGGCCUCUCUGCAGACUGCUCCAUACCCUGUGCUGUCCUGCCUCAGAUGCAGAGAGAGCACAAGGCUCCCGCUCUCCUCGUCCUCGGUGCGCCUGUGUUCUUGCUACCAUCACAGCUGAAUGCAAUGAAAGGCGGUCCUCUGAGAGGAGCAGGGUGGAGAUGCUAAAGUGGAGGCCCCCUCCCAUUGCUGAUAGAUCCUCAUCUGGCAUGCGCUCCACCCUCCCCAUUCUCUGCUCCCACAUAUCGUAGCCCCAUCACAGAAGAUGCGACAUGGAAAAAAGCACUGUGUCCACCCUAGUUCUUAAAUUUGGGCAGGGAUUUGGGGUGUAUGUUAAGAGUUUUUCAAAUUUGCCAGAUUGCAUGCCUAUGUUGUUAAAUACACAGUGAAUCUCUGGUAUGAUAACAGUUUCUGGAUAAACAUUACUUGAGGUCCUAAAAUGCAGAAGGGAAAAAGCAACUUUUGUCAGAUGCCUACUUUGCUUUCAUUUCAUCUCUAAUAUUUUGGAUGGGGAAUCAGCCAAAGCUUCUGACUGCAUGAAGGUCAAGUGUGCCAGUGUGCAGCUGGGUUUCUUUUCCAGAAUUAAAAGUAUUUUGGGUGGUGGUGAGGGUCAGAGGAAGAAGUAAAGAUUGUGAGAAAGUGGAAGAAGCAUGGGCUUGGGGAGAACCCAGAAUUGGGGCCAGAAGACCUGGCACUAGGCUACAGCACUUAGCACCUCUGAUCUUGUUUUUCUUCAUCUGUAAAAGGAGGUUAACAAAGCUUUUCUGCCCACUUCUUGGGGAGAAGGGAAUAAUAUAAUUGGUAAAAAAAAAAAAAAAAAGUUUUGAAAAAUAAGCAACACUGACUUUAUGUAACCAAGCAUUAUUAAUUCUCCACCCCAUAUCACUGGUAGAUACCUGUAUUCAAGCUAUCUGGACAUGAAAGUAGUCACAUUUUAGAAGUCAUGAAGUUGAUGCUAAUAAACCUAAUCUACAGAAACA